AGUGAACGCUGGCGGUAGGCCUAACACAUGCAAGUCGAACGGCAGCACAGUAAGAGCUUGCUCUUACGGGUGGCGAGUGGCGGACGGGUGAGGAAUACAUCGGAAUCUACUUUUUCGUGGGGGAUAACGUAGGGAAACUUACGCUAAUACCGCAUACGACCUACGGGUGAAAGCAGGGGAUCUUCGGACCUUGCGCGAUUGAAUGAGCCGAUGUCGGAUUAGCUAGUUGGCGGGGUAAAGGCCCACCAAGGCGACGAUCCGUAGCUGGUCUGAGAGGAUGAUCAGCCACACUGGAACUGAGACACGGUCCAGACUCCUACGGGAGGCAGCAGUGGGGAAUAUUGGACAGAGGGCGCAAGCCUGAUCCAGCCAUACCGCGUGGGUGAAGAAGGCCUUCGGGUUGUAAAGCCCUUUUGUUGGGAAAGAAAAGCAGCAGGUUAAUACCCCGCUGUUCUGGCGGUACCCAAAGAAUAAGCACCGGCUAACUUCGUG
rnacentral:rRNA from 1 species